AGAGGCUCCUGGGGAUUGAGGUUCAAAUCUUUGGUUAUGUUGAAAUGGUGGCAAGCACGCUAACCUCUGGAUGGCCCCCCUGUGGAGAUGAGUAGCGUGGUUUUAAAUAUUACAAUUUUUCAUCAUCCAAUUUUUUUUGGGUUGAAAUAAUUCCUUUGUAUAUAUUAGGGCUGUAAAAAUACGAUCAAACAUAAUCCAAGUUCAUUUCUAGCGCACAUUUUGCACCAGCUGCAGCUGUAAUAAAGUACAACUGAUCAAUUCUAUUUCUCGUUUUCAGAGAAGACACCAGAGGCAAAUCUAUUGACUCAUCUCUGAGAUCACCACUCAAAUGACACCCCAAGUAGUCCGCUGUGUUGACCUGGAUGUGGGCCAGAAGCGGGCUCUCAAAGCACUUCCCAAUGAUUGGAGUGGCCUACUGCUCUGUCGUCACUCAGGCAGGCGGGCUCUUCCUGGGAAGAAACUGUUCUUUUAACCACAAAAUGGGUUCUUCUUUGCUUCUGUUUGUGAAGUUACUUCAUGCAGGCUUCUUCAUCCUGGUUGGAAGCUGAUGGCGGCUCGCCUUGACUGCUUAUCUUCUGCCUGUGGUCGUUCGUCGGCUGUUCGGGCCUCGUCUUAUCAGGACCCGGCCUGCUCGGAUUGGAGGGUUCGUGGGAAGUAAACAUAGAACCUGUCCUUUGCUUAUCUGCACCCAGGAGGCUGUGUGUGCGUGUGUGUGUAGGAUGGAGAAAGAAAAGCCUGUUUCCAUGACAACCUCUUCCUUCACCCCCCCUCCCCUCUUCUCUCUCUCGAGGAGAACCCUGGUGGUCUUUGUGUAAUGCGAUUCCACUAGAAUGCACCGUGGAUUAGAGCUCCACAGCCUUCGGGCCCAAGGCAGGCCAGUGAAGACAUGAUUACCCAGAUCAAAUGCUGUAAUCACUUGGCACUGGAGGCUUUCACAUCCAUUCCAGAUAAAACCUCAAACUGGCAAUGCUCAGGUGAUUAAGGGAUUAUUAUUCUGCAUUUCACCACGGUGACGGUCACUCUCAUUCCCCUGACGUCAGAAGAAAGGUUGUGACCAGAACCCAGCGGCGGUCGGUCCAUGUAUUGACAUUCAACCACCCCUCCCUUUUAAGUGUUCCUGAGGGUCUUGUCUUGGCUCCAACAAUACACUCACAAGUGGAGCGUGUUUUUAUGUUUGCUGUACAACACUCAGCAUGGGCUCCUCCAUGAGAACCCGCUGAAACCUCUCGAGGUGGAUUCGGAAGGCGAGGCAAUGACCCUCCCUCCCUCCCUCCGAGUACGCGCCAAUAGGCACUCAGAGGUACGGGGAGAUAUUCCACUUGUUUGAUUAAGUGAGGAAGAAAACUACUUGAGCAAGAAGCUUAGGCUACAAAUGUUGGAGGAAGAACACACUUGAGCCAUGUGGGAAAAGAAAGACUAUAGCCGCUAACAAAUGGGCCCGUGAGAGCGGGCCACGGCGCUUGGCUCCAUGCUGAAAGCAUCCGGCCUCACUAUUGUCAGCUAACAACAACAUCUGUGAAGAGGUAGCCGUAAGAAGGAAGGGCUCACAAAAAAAGUCCUAGAGGAGCCCGGCUGCCGAGGCCAUUCUACUCAUCCGCGCUCAAAAGUACUUGUCUACCAAAAGCCCACUUGAGAGAAUGUAAGAGCGCUAUUGCAUCAUAUUUCUCAAGUGUCGCUGUAAAGUAUUC